CGAGGAGGGGGCUGGCACAGGUACUGCUGCACGGAGCUCAGAGCACACAUUUGGAAAGGCACAGCAGCGAGGAUCCAGCAUCACCUUUUCUCCAGGCAGCCUUUUUUUGGGCCAGGACUUGGCUGUGUGUCUAUAUGCAGCUCCUAGCACAGCGGGACGCGGAGCACGAUAGGACCUCUGGAUCCCAUAGUGAUGCUGGUACUGGGAGAUGACUGGAGAUGCUGGCUGGAGCUCUACGCCUGACAGCAGCCCAGGAGCAGGACUGGUCUGGCUACCCUGAAACACUGAGAUGUGAUCGAGUCUGAGCUGGUUACCAUGCUCCAGUGCUCACUGGAGGUCUGACUGCAGCAUGAGGUGGCAUUUGAAAUGUCUCUGAUGGUGGCCCCAUUCAGGCAUUGGAACGUGUUGUCUGGGGAAAUGGCAAGUCUACAUGCCUGGAGGUACUGAAGACAUUCAUGGAUGUGGCACCAAGGGACAUGGAAUAGAGAUGGGACUUGGGCAAUGUAAAUGGGACUUCACCCCAUCCCCACCUCCUGACUUGAGACUGUGGCUUGAGAACAGCAGGAAUUGCUCAUGGGACAGCCCAGGGAUGUAUAUAUCAAGGCUGGAACACAGAGAUGAAAGCAUCCCGGGGGCAGGCAGAAGAGUGGGGCUGGAAUUCAGCUUCCUCACUGCAAGAUUUCACUUUCACUGAGUAGAUAUUUGGUAAAAUAUCUCUUCCUCCUCAUGCUGAGGACCUUAUUGCUCCCCAGGCCUGAGCACAGGAUCAUUCAACAGAAAGACAUUGAAAAAGUCAGCGUUGGCUUUUUCUCUCUGCAAAUAACACCGUGUUUCAGAGAGGCUGAAAUUGCAACAUGAAUCAAAGCAGACAGCUGGAGUCUAUGCGUGCAGCCUGCAGCCCUCAUGCACUGAAGGGCCUGCCCUGUCCCCAGGAUGUCUAUGGACGCUCCAAGGUGAGAGCCCUGAGAGCAGUGCCUGGUGAGGAGCAGUGUCCUUCAGGUGACACCCCAAAGGCUUGUGCUCAUCCCAUGGGCAUCUAUGAGAAGAGCAGCUGCUGGGCCAGCUUCUUGAAGGUGGGAAAUCUCCUCUUGGGAGCAGUAAUUGAUGAUAACUCCCCAUUUGGAGCACACGGUGAGUCCCAGAGCCAUGCUCACAGCACCCUGAGUCUUCCAUACUGGAGUGGUGUUGCUCCCUGCCCACCAGCACUGAGGCUGCAGCAGAUUUGCUGUUUUAACAUAGCAUUGCAUCCCGGCUCCGUGUGCCAAAAUCAAUAAAGGGAUCAUGAAUGAUAUUUCAAUAAUAACGAUCAUGAGAACAAAUAUAGCCGUGUGCUGGGUGCUGUGCUCAAAUGCAACAGCACAGUCCCUCUGUUGUAUUUAAAGAUCCUGACCCUGGCUGGUUAGAUACCAGGAAAUCUGCUUAUUGAUUUAAUGACCUUUGGCUGAAGUCGUGAGCAGAGAGGAGGCAGAGGAGGAUGGAAUAGAAUCACAGAGCCAUCAAAUCACUGAGGUUGGAAAAGACCUCUGGGAUCUUCAAGUCUGACCCCUACCCAUCCCACCAUGCCCACCAGCCGUGUCCCUCGUGCCAUGUCUCCAUGCUUCCAGAACACUUCCAGGGAUGGUGACUCCACCACUUCCCUGUUUUAAUGCAUUACUUAAAGGUCUUUUCCAGCUUUAACAACUCUAUGACUAUGACCACUUCUUCUGAGAAGGAACCCUUCCCAAUAUCCAAACUGGAGAGCAGGGAUGCAGCUUGCUUGGCUGGGUUUGUUUCAUUCUACCCUUUUACCCUCUUUCUCUUCGUACUCCAGCACCAAGCUUGUCCAUCCCCAGGGAUAAGCACACCUUAUAGCCCCACGCUCCUCCCAAGGGUGGGUACAUCAGCACAGCCACACAGUGUGGCGCUCCCACCCGGGAGCCACCCUGCAGGAGGGUCUUUGGGUGCCCUCCUUCACCCACAGCUAUUUCCACCUGUGGGGCUGUCUAUGGAUAUCUCACCCCCAGGUCUGUGGGGCAGCCCUGGCUGGGGCCAUGCCUUGCCAAAAGCAUUUCCUGGUGAGUUGCAGCCCCGUGGUGAGCCAGCUGCUCGGCAUGGCUGAGAAUCGACAGGGAACCAAGCGGGUGGAGGAUUUUAAUACCUAUCCCUCUCAAACUGCUAUGGAAAGGGAAAGUUCAUUGGUUGUCGAUAUUAUCCUGCUGUGAUAAAAGCUUAAGAAGCUGCUUUGCAAAUGCCCACUGCGAGGAGCAUGCUAUAAAUGUUUCCAGCAUGAAGUGAUACAUCACAGCUCAUGGAUGUUCCCACUGAGAAAGACCCCAGCUCCAGCUUCUUCCAGGGACGCGCUUAGGAAAUGCAAUCUACCACUGCCAGCAUAAUCAAACACAUAUUGUUCCCAGGCACCAAAGUGGCCACCGGUGAAUUGAUACUUGGGAGCACUUUGCUCUUACACAGCUCUUCAUCUGUCACUCUCAAAAUCUGUGGGUUUUCUCCUUCUUUUUGUUUUUACAAGGGGUUCCUAUUACCAUCUCCACUCUGCCAGGAGGGAAACUGAGGCUGGGAAUGUCACCCAUGACUGCUGAGUCUGUGGACGUCUCCUUGGAAUCACAUCAGUUCAUUACAGGCACAGCUUUCCUUUGGCCAUCAGUGUCCAUCUGCUCAGAUGUUCCGGAGCUCCAUCAUGAAAGCCUGGGAAAUUUAUUUAUUUCAACCCAUUUAAAGUGAUUUCACUAAUGUAUUCCACAGAGUGGGUUUAGCGUGUGAGCUCUUUACUAAAAUCAUUACUGUAUUAAUGAGACCUAACCUAAAGCCACUGAACAUGACUUUAAAGGAAUAUCUCAAAGCGGCGGCUGAGAUGGAUGGGAGCAGGCAGAACGUGUUUGUAAAGUUAUAUUUAGUCAAAUCAAACUGGAACUCAUUAAAUACAGCAAAAUAAUUCACUGAAUAAUUCACUCCAGUUGAAUGCGAAGGAUUUGGAGAACCUUGGGUUGUUUGAUUGAAAAGCAGGUUAUUGAUGCUCCUGUGCAUGUGACAGAGCAGAAAUAGGAGUGGGAGGUGGAGAGCUGUCACCUCGGUGUGAAGGGCCUUCCGUGGAGAAAGGUCCAUCAGAACCAAAGGUUGGCAAAGCGUGGCUGGAAUUAAGGCUCACGCUUUUGUUUGGGAGGGAAAUGAACAGCAGCCCCUGAGUGGGGAGUAUGGGAUGUAGGAGAGCACUCUGGGAGCAGCGCAGGGUCAGAGGAGGAAUGGCUCCAGCAGUGCCUUUGCUUAUACCCAAGCAGGGCAUGCACCUACUCUUAAAGCAAGUAAAACCUCAUUCCCUCAUUCGUGCAAACUUCAGGCCACACCUCAGACCUGGUCCCAACCAUUCAGCCAUCCCUACAGCAUCGGAGAGGAUCAGCUUUGCUUCACAUAUGAGAAAACCCUGGCACAGACACCAUGGCAGCUCAGCCAUGUGUCCCCUCCGCACCCCCUCCUCCUUUAACCCCAUUCAUGCCAGCAUGCUCCGCUCUGGAAUCUCCCAGCAAAAGGAAAAGCUUUAAACAAAAUACAAUUUUACAGUUCAUUUCAGUUAAUCACAGAGUCUAUGUUCUGAAAUGAUCUUCUCGGCAUUGCCUAUGGAGAGAAGCAAUGGCUGAUUGGCAUUCCAUUACUAAACAGCUAAGCCAUUCAUAAUGCAAAAAAACAGACUUGAUGGAAAGAUUUGAUUCAGUUUUCAAGCUAGACUAAUUCAAAACCCAGUGCUCUAUAAAUCAGAGCAAAUGUUCUUUAUAAAAAAAAUAUAGCCGAGCCUGUGUGCAGUAUCAGAUCUAUGAUUUAUGCCUGUAUCCCAUUAAACUGAAGGACAAGCGAGGGGAGCACAGGGCUGCCACUGCAUGCCAGCUCCCUGCCUGCCCCGCAAUAAACACGUUCUGUGACUGCAGGAACAGUGUGAUGUCUGAGGGACGUUUGGGGGCUGAGGGGAUGUUCUGUUUUCCAGGGGCACAGCAAAGCCCCUUGGGGGGCUGUGGAGCCUGCAGGAGGGCAGGGGAUGGUGCCUCGGAGCAGCAGGGCUGUGCUGAAGCCCUCGGUUUUUCCUUCUUUGCUGCACCACCUCAUGCCCUGCAGAGUCCCUUCUGCAGAGAUACCACUGUUUUUCAGCCUGCAGGUGGGAUGUCUCCUUUGAGCAUCACAGGAUACAACAGUUCCCCAGCACCACUUUCAGGCUGCAGCAGAAGGAAGCGGUCCAGGAAACAUCCCACGCGUGUUUCCUUCCUGCUAAACCUCUCCACCCGAUGGCAGCUUCAGCGCUGUGCAUUGCUUUGGUGCAUGGAGCAGUGCUGUGUUCCACACCAAGCCCUGGGUGUGGGUGUUCUUCCACCUCUCCGUGCAUCUCCUGCUCUUGUUUGCCUUCUCUACAGCUCACGUGGCUCCACACCGAGUGGAGCUGGGGGCCGUUAACAUCUGUUGGCACUCCAGAGCUCGUGGGGAAAAUGAUGCCAUCUUUCAGGGACCGCCGCUGACAUUUUAAAAGCCGUGUCUGAAAUCCCUGAACAAUUAAGAGCGAGGCUUUCACAUUCCUCCCUACCCACAGCAUUGCACAGGCAAGGCACCAGCUGAGAAGUGCAUGGUGAUAGGAAAAGCCACGAUUAAUGAAUAAUGGAGCGCUGGCAAUAUGUAACUUCCAGGCGGAGCCAUCAUAAUUCAAUCCAAGCAGCAAUAUCAGGGCCUUUCCUUGGAGGAGUCUAAGCAGUGGUUAAAUAUUCAAUAAAAAAAAAAGAUGGC
ensembl:lncRNA